CUAUAUACUUACACUAUAUUAUGCACUAAGUAUUAGUGCAUUAGCUAAUAUUCGAUAUAUAUAUUAGCUAAUGCACUAAUACUUAGUGCAUAAUAUAGUGUAAGUAUAUA
rnacentral:pre_miRNA from 19 species